UGGAGCAUGUGGUUUAAUUCGAUGAUACGCGAGGAACCUUACCAGGGUUUGACAUCUAUCUGACAGGAGUAGAGAUACUCUUUCCCUUCGGGGUUGAUAGACAGGUGCUGCAUGGUUGUCGUCAGCUCGUGUCGUGAGAUGUUGGGUUAAGUCCCGCAACGAGCGCAACCCCUAUUCUUUGUUGCCAUCAGGUAAUGCUGGGCACUCGAAGGAAACCGCUGUAUCAAAGACAGAGGAAGGUGGGGACGACGUCAAAUCAUCAUGGCCCUUAUAUCCUGGGCUACACACGUGCUACAAUGGGUGGUACAAAGAGUUGCAAAACCGCGAGGUCAAGCUAAUCUCAAGAAACCAUCCUCAGUUCGGAUUGGAGUCUGAAACUCGACUCCAUGAAGUUGGAAUCGCUAGUAAUCGCAUAUCAGCAUGAUGCGGUGAAUACGUUCCCGGGCCUUGUACACACCGCCCGUCACACCACCCGAGUUAAUUUACCCGAAGUCGCUGUGCUACCCUUCGGGAAGUAG
rnacentral:rRNA from 1 species